AUGCAACUCUUCUUCCUCAACGCCUACGUUCAACUGAUCUUCAAAUGGCAUCAAAAGGACCCUUCACCGAAACAGCUGAUUCAUGUAUAGAUCAACCAAUUGAGAAGAAUCGCCCACGCCAGUCCUCUGCGUCGAUCAUUGGGGAAGUUGCAGUGGGGAAUUCCUUAACACGUCUAUCAGAAGCACUGGAUCCAUUACUCAACAUGUGGUGAAUGAAGAAGACCGUUCGCCGAUGUUUGAUUCGUUAUUCAAGAUCAUUUACCGAAGCAUCUUCUUUGAAGAUACAAGCCCUAGAACCAUCUUAAGCAGGAAGUAAAAUAACCAAUAUUGGGAGUAAGCCCCUAGGAAUCGCCUACUUAGGCAGUGAGGAUUGGUUGGUCGAUUUCAUCGUUGUUGAAAUCUAAAAUGUUGGAGUUGGAGAGAUACAGAAAUACGUACAAAACAAUGGGAAGAUCUCAAUCUCUAUUGGUUCCAAGAGCAGCAGAGAAUCCAAUCUCACCACAUGGUGGAAUUGUGAGUUUAUAACUUAUGGGACAGAAUCAAAUGAUGGAAUUUCGAUCUCAACCCACUUCAGAAGGUUCUCAACGACUCUUUGGGAGACGAGAUAUGUGAGACUGUCUUGGUUGGGGUCGCAAGCCCAAGUCUCGG